rnacentral:rRNA from 1 species
CAGGAUGAACGCUGGCGGCGUGCCUAAUACAUGCAAGUCGAGCGAACAGACNGAGGAGCUUGCUCCUUUGACGUUAGCGGCGGACGGGUGAGUAACACGUGGGUAACCUACCUAUAAGACUGGGAUAACUUCGGGAAACCGGAGCUAAUACCGGAUAAUAUWUYGAACCGCAUGGUUCRAUAGUGAAAGANUGGNNUUUGCUAUCACUUAUAGAUGGACCCGCGCCGUAUUAGCUAGUUGGUAAGGUAACGGCUUACCAAGGCAACGAUACGUAGCCGACCUGAGAGGGUGAUCGGCCACACUGGAACUGAGACACGGUCCAGAC